GGAGGGAGUACUUUGCCAUGAAUUAUUAGUAGCUAGCUCUCGACAGUUUGAAGGACCUAACUAGACAUGUAAAAAUUCGGAUUAGUUGUUCGUGCUAGAGCAUGCAUGCAUGAUAUCCCGGGCGGAUCGUCUCAGGUUCCUCAGGAGAUUUGCUUUACCGACUUCAUAAUUCUGUUUGUAUUUUAGUCCUUUUUCUCCACCCAUGAAAACAUCUUAGUAAAUAAAGC
rnacentral:lncRNA from 1 species